rnacentral:rRNA from 1 species
AAUGAACGCUGGCGGUAGGCCUAACACAUGCAAGUCGAACGGCAGCACAGUAAGAGCUUGCUCUUACGGGUGUCGAGUGGCGGACGGGUGAGGAAUACAUCGGAAUCUACUUUUUCGUGGGGGAUAACGUAGGGAAACUUACGCUAAUACCGCAUACGACCUACGGGGGAAAGCAGGGGAUCUUCGGACCUUGCGCGAGGGAAUGAGCCGAUGUAGGAUUAGCUAGUUGGCGGGGUAAAGGCCCACCAAGGCGACGAUCCGUAGCUGGUCUGAGAGGAUGAUCAGCCACACUGGAACUGAGACACGGUCCAGACUCCUACGGGAGGCAGCAGUGGGGAAUAUUGGACAAUGGGCGCAAGCCUGAUCCAGCCAUACCGCGUGGGUGAAGAAGGCCUUCGGGUUGUAAAGCCCUUUUGUUGGGAAAGAAAAGCAGCAGGUUAAUACCCCGCUGUUCUGACGGUACCCAAAGAAUAAGCACCGGCUAACUUCGUG